rnacentral:rRNA from 1 species
AGUCACAACCAUAUCACACUGCAGCCCAAGACUGGUUACUCACUGAAGCUUAGCAGGGCUGAGCCUGGUCAGUACCUGGAUGGGAUACCACAUGGGAAAAGUGGUGUUAGAAAAA